AUUGAACGCUGGCGGUAUGCUUAACACAUGCAAGUCGAACGGUAACAGGCCUUCGGGCGCUGACGAGUGGCGGACGGGUGAGUAACGCGUAGGAAUCUGCCUCAUAGUGGGGGACAACGUGGGGAAACUCACGCUAAUACCGCAUACGCCCUACGGGGGAAAGCGGGGGAUCUUCGGACCUCGCGCUAUGAGAUGAGCCUGCGUUAGAUUAGCUAGUUGGUAGGGUAAAGGCCUACCAAGGCGACGAUCUAUAGCUGGUCUGAGAGGACGAUCAGCCACACUGGGACUGAGACACGGCCCAGACUCCUGCGGGAGGCAGCAGUGGGGAAUAUUGGACAAUGGGCGCAAGCCUGAUCCAGCAAUACCGCGUGUGUGAAGAAGGCCUUAGGGUUGUAAAGCACUUUCAAUUGGGAGGAAAACCUGCCGGUCAAUACCCGGUAGCUUGACAUUACCUUUAGAAGAAGCACCGGCUAACUCCGUGCCAGCAGCCGCGGUAAUACGGAGGGUGCAAGCGUUAAUCGGAAUUACUGGGCGUAAAGCGUGCGUAGGCGGUUCGUUAAGUCAGAUGUGAAAGCCCCGGGCUUAACCUGGGAACUGCAUUUGAAACUGGCGGACUAGAGUUGAGUAGAGGGGAGUGGA
rnacentral:rRNA from 1 species